GACCUCAAUCAGGUAGAAUACCCGCUGAACUUAAGCAUAUCAAUAAGCGGAGGA
rnacentral:rRNA from 1 species